GAUGAACGCUGGCGGCGUGCCUAACACAUGCAAGUCGAACGUGAGAGGGUAGCAAUAUCCUUGAAAGUGGCGAACGGGUGAGUAACACGUAGAUAACCUGCCUCGAAGAGGGGGAUAACGACUGGAAACGGUCGCUAACACCGCAUGGUACCGGAUUGACGGGAGUUGAACCGGUGAAAACUCUGGUGCUUCGAGAGGGGUCUGCGGCCGAUUAGCUAGUUGGCGGGGUAAGAGCCCACCAAGGCGACGAUCGGUAGCUGGUCUGAGAGGACGAUCAGCCACACGGGAACUGAGAAACGGUCCCGACUCCUACGGGGGGCAGCAGUGAGGAAUAUUGGGCAAUGGGCGCAAGCCUGACCCAGCAACGCCGCGUGGAGGAAUGAAGGCCUUCGGGUUGUAAACUCCUUUUACGGGGGAAGAGGAAGGACGGUACCCCGAGAAUAAGUCACGGCUAACUACGUG
rnacentral:rRNA from 1 species